AGCUUUUCAGUCUUUUUUCAGAGCAGGCUUGCUGCACUCUUCACUGGAAGGGUGUGUCCCACAACCUCCAGAGAAGGCCCGAUCGAGAAGGCCUGAUCCCAGGUUGUCACCAGAUGAAUUGAUGGCACCCAAAGAUGGACCCCUCCUGAUGAUCUCCAUUCAGUGUUUUAAAGCAGCUUCCUUGAGCCUUGGAAAGGAGUCACAGUCAUGUUCUGAAUGGAGGAAGGAGUGAAUGAAGCCAGGAUUCAGUCCCGAAAAAUUGUUUUCAAUGCCAGGGCUCAGCCGUGGAGUAUUGGGACUGAAAGUGCUUUGGAAUAUCAACAAAGUGGGUUUUCCUUAACACUGAGAAUCCACAAACCCAGCCCCCAUAUAUAAAGAGAAACACUAUCUUAUUUGUAGAUAGUACUGAGAUUCAGCACUUAACUCUGAAAUUAAACAACACUGCCCAGCUUAAUACCAGAGUAGGCCAAAUGGUGAAAAUAGUUGUGCUUGAAUACAGGAAGUCCCCAACUUACAAACACACUAUGUUCCAAAAGUUCAUUUGUAAGUCAGAUGUUCAUAAUUCGAAACGCAUGUAGUUCCCAAGAGGGACAACUUGUUUGUGCGUGUGAGUUGGCAUUUGUAAGUUGGAGACUUCAUGAAUUUAAUAUGUUAUGGUGCUUUCUAUAUAUAGAUGUUUUGCAACUCGGGUGCUUGUAAUUCGGGGAGUGCCCAUACCUGGCCUGUUGUUGUUUGCUUACUGUUGCAUGAAGCAGUGGGUGACUUCUUCUUGGUUUGACUUGAAAUUGGCUCAGUAUUUACUAGCUUUCUCAGUGGGAAUUCACAAAAAGCUAAUCUGUUUUCUGAGAGCUUUCCUGCACAUGCACACUAUUGCAUU